UAUGGAUUGGGAAGAGAGGUCUGUCCAUGCAGGAGGAAGCUGUCCUAGUUCAGAGGCAGAGGGGUUGAAUUUUCUGAAGCUGCUCGAAGAUGAAGAAGAAUAUUAAGCAUGUGUGGUACUAUUUCUACUGGCUCUUCUGGCAGUUUCAACUAAUCACCUGUAGCUAUCUUAUGGACCCAUGUGAAAAAAUAAUCUUCUACAGUUUUACCAUUUUUGUCUUUGUUAUCAUGAUUUAUACUGUUUUCACCUGUAUCUCUUUCCACAUCUGUCUGAUCAUUAAGUUCUUCUUACACACAUUUGGAAGUGAUCCUGAAAGCAAUAUUUACAUUAUAAAAUAACCUGGUCAUGGCUUUUGAGCCCUGCAACCUCUUUCCAUAAACUUGUGCAUUUCUGUUCAGAGGCAGUUUAAACUGACAAGGCUGUGCAUAUAAUUUCUUUUGCCCUCCCUCCCCCCAGUCGUUUUUGUACUGCAUUGUCUUUUGACUUUUCUUUCCCAUAGGAACAUCUUCCAGGGAAGGUGGAAUUGCAACAUGUGCUUCUUAGCUAUUUUCCACACUAGGUCAGUUUCCUAGUGAAAACUGGGUGCAAAUUUUGAGUGAUUUGCAAGAUGCAAUAUUGGAGUUAAGGGGCCACGUUGUAUACUCAUUUUGUAUUUCUAGAUUUAAAGCUCAUGUUUUUGAGUUAACUUUUUUUUUUUCAGGCACUUGUCAAGUGUUAUUGGAAAUCUGCUUAAUUUUUACUGAAUACCUGUGCUGCCUGAAAACUUCCUAAAUGUUUUCUGGAAAACCUUAAGUUGUCAGAGAGUCCCCUGUGUUCUGCCUAGGAGCACAGGUGGGAAGUUAGGAGGUGAACGAGUUCAGAUGUAAGAGUGGAGUUACAACCGUGGAGCAGGCACUGUCAUUACCUUGUCCCUGGAAGUACUUGUAACCUCUGCAGAAAUGGACCUUCAAUCCCAGCAAAGAUUUCAGGGGUCAUAAGAGCAUUUAGUGCUGGCCUGGGAAUGAGCAAGGACCAACAUUUCUGUAAUUUUGGUUCACACUGCAUGCAUUUGCUUUUGUCCACGUAAGAGUUGUGUAGGUCAGGGGGAUUUUGUGUUCAAAGUGUUUUGGUUGCUUCUUUCUUAACUUACACUUCCUUAGUUUCACAGGUUAGUGCUGGCUAUAGAAUAACUUUCAAAACUCACAGAAUUUGCCACAGGAUUAUUAAAGUGACACCAAGAACAAGUUCAUUGGAUCCUGCAGGGCACUUAAUAUUUGAUCCAAAACUCAAAUUAUAAUUUUGAAUACCAUUUUGUUUUUCUUUUCGGAUAAACUUGUUUAGUUUUAUUUUUGUCAAAACUAUUUGUCAUCAAUUAGAUAAAACGCUUCUAUAAAAUACUUUCUGUUA